GCAUUUGAAGCUCAGUACACGUAGCACCGACCUUGUAAGCCGGAGGAUCGGGGGUUAGAAUCCCCCCAAGUGCC
rnacentral:tRNA from 1 species